rnacentral:rRNA from 1 species
CCCUUAGAUGUUCUGGGCCGCACGCGCGCUACAAUGAUGAAUUCAACGAGUUUAUAACCUUGGUUGAAAAGCCUGGGUAAUCUUUUGAACUUUCGUCGUGAUGGGGCUAGACCCUUGCAAUUAUUGGUCUCCAACGAGGAAUUCCUAGUAAACGCAAGUCAUCAGCUUGCAUUGAUUACGUCCCUGCCCUUUGUACACACCGCCCGUCGCUCCUACCGAUUGGGUGUGCUGGUGAAAUGUUCGGAUCGGCCGUUUGUCGCGGUUUCCGCGUCAUGUGGCUGAGAAGUUCAUUAAACCCUCCCACCGAGAGGAAGGAGAAGUCGUAACA